rnacentral:rRNA from 1 species
GACACGACUCUCGMCAAUGGAUAUCUCGGCUCUCGCAUCGAUGAAGAGCGCAGCGAAAUGCGAUACGUGGUGCGAAUUGCAGAAUCCCGCGAAC